ACAUUUACCUGGCUGUGGGGAUAUCAUGAUCAGGAAAGUGGUUUGUUUCAGGGCAAGUCUUACCACUGCACUCUAAAUAUGUUGACCCCUAUGAUUUUUCCCAAAUGUGGGAAACUUGGCUGCAUAAUUUGGGGUUGUGGAGGACUAUAUUUGUGUUCUCCCCUG
ensembl:snRNA U1 U1 spliceosomal RNA